rnacentral:rRNA from 1 species
UCUUGGGAGCGGCGGACGGGUGAGUAAAGCCUAUGAAUCUGCCUGGUAGUGGGGGAUAACGCUCGGAAACGGACGCUGAUACCGCAUACGUCCUACGGCAGAAAGCAGGGGACCUUCAGGCCUUGCGCUCUCACAUGAGCCUAAGUCGGAUUAGCUAGUUGGUGAGGUAAUGGCUCACCCACGCGACGAUCCGUAACUGGUCUGAGAGGAAGAUCAAUCACACUGGAACUGAAACACAGACCAGACUCCUACGGGAGGCAGCAGUGGGGAAUAUUGAACAAUGGGCGAAAGCCUGAUCCAGCCAUGCCCCGUGUGUGAAUAAGGUCUUCGGAUUGUAAAUCACUUUAAGUUGGGAGGAAGGGCAUUAACCUAAUACUUUAGUGUUUUGACAUUACCGACACAAUAAGCACCGGCUAACUCUGUGCCAGCGCCCGCGGUAAUACAGAGGGUGCAAGCGUUAAUCGGAAUUACUGGGCGUAAAGCGCGCGUAGGUGGUUCGUUAAGUUGGAUGUGAUAUCCCCGGGCUCAACCUGGGAACUGCAUUCAAAACUGUCGAGCUAGGUAUGGUAGAGGGUGGUGGAAUUUCCUGUGUAGCGGUGAAAUGCGUAGAUAUAGAGAAGGAACACCAUUGGCGAAGGCGACCACCUGCACUGAUACUGACACUGAGGUGC